UACGAAGGGGGCGAGCGUUGUUCGGAAUUACUGGGCGUAAAGGGCGCGCAGGCGGCUCUGAAAGUCAGAUGUGAAAGCCCCGGGCUUAACCUGGGAAUUGCAUUUGAUACUCUGGAGCUUGAGUACGGGAGAGGAGAGUGGAAUUCCCAGUGUAGAGGUGAAAUUCGUAGAUAUUGGGAAGAACACCGGUGGCGAAGGCGGCUCACUGGCUCAUUACUGACGCUCAGGCGCGAUAGCGUGGGGAUCAAACAGG
rnacentral:rRNA from 1 species